rnacentral:snRNA from 1 species
UCAAAUUUAAUCCCAACAAACUU